UCCCUGAUGGUCCAGUGGCUAAGAAUCUGCACUCCAAAUGCAGGGGCCCUGGUUCCAUCCUUGGUCAAGGAA
rnacentral:tRNA from 1 species